rnacentral:rRNA from 1 species
CCUACGGGGUGCACCAGUGGGGAAUAUUGCACAAUGGGCGCAAGCCUGAUGCAGCCAUGCCGCGUGUAUGAAGAAGGCCUUCGGGUUGUAAAGUACUUUCAGCGAGGAGGAAGGCAUCAAGGUUAAUAACCUUGGUGAUUGACGUUACUCGCAGAAGAAGCACCGGCUAACUCCGUGCCAGCAGCCGCGGUAAUACGAAGGGUGCAAGCGUUAAUCGGAAUUACUGGGCGUAAAGCGCACGCAGGCGGUCUGUCAAGUCGGAUGUGAAAUCCCCGGGCUCAACCUGGGAACUGCAUUCGAAACUGGCAGGCUAGAGUCUUGUAGAGGGGGGUAGAAUUCCAGGUGUAGCGGUGAAAUGCGUAGAGAUCUGGAGGAAUACCGGUGGCGAAGGCGGCCCCCUGGACAAUGACUGACGCUCAGGUGCGAAAGCGUGGGGAGCAAACAGGAUUAGAUACCCCUGUAGUC